rnacentral:lncRNA from 1 species
GCCCACCACCAUCUUGGGAGCUCUGGGAGCAAGGACCCCUGGCAUCUGGAUAUUAAGACUGUCUCCAGCCCUUUGAGGUUGAGAGAGGAAGCAAGCACGGAGGAAUGGAUUUGACAACCCACAUGUCCGUGACUCAAAGCAAGCAAGGCCUUGCACAACCAACUCGCCACCCACACAAUCUGCACAGUCUCAGUGAGAAAGCAGGAGCAGGGAGCUCUCCGCUGAGAGUGAAGAAAUGUCCUCAACUCGACUUCUCUGCAGUGUGCAUGUGUGUGAAACACAGACACACACGGGAGGAAUUUGGCUCUGUCAUUUUAGUGUACCAAAGAAAAAAAAACAGGGAGAAAUCACUUGUUUGAAGCCCUAAAUGACAUAAGGAAGAUUUUCCCAGAUCUAAAUAAUGAUCCCUAAGGUCAGGUGCUGUGUAUGGUAUGGAUUUGGAAACUUCAUAAUGUCUCUGACCACCACUCCAGGACACUGCAGACAGGUGUGCAUUUACUCAGCAUCCAGUAAACACCUGCAAGGUGCAGAGUACUACACUAGGCACAGGGAACAGAGCUACUGACUGACUGCCAGAGUUUCGAAGAAUACAGAUAAGUCAACUAUUAAAGCUAGGAAACAGACCGGAUGCGGUGGCUCACGCCUGUAAUCCCAGCACUUUGGAAGACCGAGGCGGGUGGAUCAACUGAGGUCAAGAGUUCAAGACCAGCCUGCCAACAUGGUGAAACUCCGUCCCUAUUAAUAAUACAAAAAAAUUAGCUGGGCAUGGUGGCACAUGCCUGUAAUCCCAGCUAUUCGGGAGGCUGAGGCAGGAGAAUUGCUUGAACCCAGGAGGCUGCAGUGAGCUGAGAUCGCGCCAUUGCACUCCAGCCUGGGCAACAAGAGCGAAACUCUGCCUCCAAUAAAUAAAUAAAUAAAAUAAAAUAAAAUAAAAUAAAGCCAUAAAACAGUAAA